UACGUAGGGAGCUAGCGUUGUUCGGAAUCACUGGGCGUAAAGCGCACGUAGGCGGAUUUGCCAGUCAGGGGUGAAAUCCUGGAGCUCAACUCCAGAACUGCCUUUGAUACUGAGGAGCUUGAGUCCGGGAGAGGUGAGUGGAACUGCGAGUGUAGAGGUGAAAUUCGUAGAUAUUCGCAAGAACACCAGUGGCGAAGGCGGCGCACUGGCCCGGUACUGACGCUGAGGUGCGAAAGCGUGGGGAGCAAACAGG
rnacentral:rRNA from 1 species